GACGAACCAUGCGAACGUUGGUCGGAUUCACUGGGCUUAAAGGGCGCGUAGGCGGGUUCUCAAGUCGGGGGUGAAAUCCCACAGCCCAACUGUUGAAGUGCCCCCGAUACUGGGAGCCUGGAGGGAGGUAGGGGUGUGUGGAACUUCCGGUGGAGCGGUGAAAUGCGUAGAUAUCGGAAGGAACGCAGGUGGCGAAAGCGACGCCCUGGACCUCUUCUGACGCUGAGGCGCGAAAGCCAGGGGAGCAAACGGG
rnacentral:rRNA from 1 species